rnacentral:rRNA from 1 species
CCUACGGGUGACAGCAGUGAGGAAUAUUGGUCAAUGGACGAGAGUCUGAACCAGCCAAGUAGCGUGAAGGAUGACUGCCCUAUGGGUUGUAAACUUCUUUUAUAUGGGAAUAAAAUGUUCCACGUGUGGGAUUUUGUAUGUACCAUACGAAUAAGGAUCGGCUAACUCCGUGCCAGCAGCCGCGGUAAUACGGAGGAUACGAGCGUUAUCCGGAUUUAUUGGGUUUAAAGGGAGCGUAGGUGGAUUGUUAAGUCAGUUGUGAAAGUUUGCGGCUCAACCGUAAAAUUGCAGUUGAAACUGGCAGUCUUGAGUACAGUAGAGGUGGGCGGAAUUCGUGGUGUAGCGGUGAAAUGCUUAGAUAUCACGAAGAACUCCGAUUGCGAAGGCAGUUCACUGGACUGCAACUGACACUGAGGCUCGAAAGUGUGGGUAUCAAACAGGAUUAGAUACCCGAGUAGUC